GAAGGGUUCUUCAAGCACUUGGUUUCUAAAAAAUGAAAAAACACACAGUUUCUAAGAAGAGAGGGAGAAGAAAGACGUAUACAAGUGAAGGGGAAAGGGUUCUUCAAACACUUGGUCUUCAAUCAAUUGAAUCGGUGGAGAUCGAGACGCAUGGCAGUCGGUUGAUGCAGUCCGCUUCCUUCCUCAACAAAGCAAUCACGCUUUCCAUUGAAUCAAUUUGUAAUCUACUUCGACUUGGACUUGGCUUCAAUUUCUGAUUCCAUCCGUUCAAUUGAAUCAAUUUUUUUUGUGGCCCGUUCUCUCAUUAUUCCUUCACAAACUGUGAUUGAUCCAAAGGAAGUGAAGAAUUGCGCUUGCUUUGUCACAGCAUUGUGUUCCGCCCUUUUGUUAUUUUUUGGUACAAAUAUUGGUCUUAUAGUUUAGGUUUACUACCUCGAGACAAUCAGGCAUUUUCAACAUGGGCAAAGCAUCAAGGGAUAAGAGGGAUAUCUACUACCGAAAAGCAAAAGAAGAGGGUUGGCGUGCUCGAAGUGCCUUCAAGCUCCUUCAAAUUGAUGAAGAAUUCAGCAUAUUUGAAGGAGUGAAGCAUGUGGUGGAUCUAUGUGCAGCGCCUGGUAGCUGGAGUCAGGUUUUGAGUCGCAAACUGUAUCUGCUUGCAAAGCUGUCACCUAAUUCAAAGGAAAGCGAUCUUCCUCUUAUUGUGGCUAUUGAUUUGCAGCCAAUGGCUCUAAUUGAAGGUGUUAUUCAAGUACAGGGCGAUAUUACAAAUGCUCGAAGAACUGAAGUGACAUUUUUAUGGAUGCAUUGCCAUCGAAAGUUGAUAUACAAGCAUACCAAAAUCAAAAUAUGAGACAACUAAAUCAAAAAUUGCUACUCUUAGAACAAGAACUCCGGGAGAUGAAAGCUGAAAUGUUAAAAGGAAAAAGGCAAAAUGAGGAACCAAGCGAAGAUGCAACGGGCAAGAAAAAUUCUCAUGGAGAAACCCAGUUCCAGGUGUUAGAAGGACUUAGGGUGGACUCAUGGCGUAGUUGAGACUCGAUUGCAUGGAUCUCUAGGACAUUUAUGGAUUUUGUUUUAGAUUGUCAUGUCCAGUUUGUGCAUAUUUCUUUUUAUUUUUAUUGGGGUUCGUUUAGGAUUAUUUUGAUAUGUGGGCUAUUUAUACCCUAUAAGUUUGAAUGGUUUUGAUUACGGUUGAUUUUGCUGUUUAUAGUUGUGGCAUGUCACUGGAUUGAGUUUUGGUUAUUUAUUACUGGACUAUUGUAUAGUUA